rnacentral:rRNA from 1 species
CCAGACUCCUACGGGAGGCAGCAGUGGGGAAUAUUGGACAAUGGACCGAAAGUCUGAUCCAGCAAUUCUGUGUGCACGAUGAAGUUUUUCGGAAUGUAAAGUGCUUUCAGUUGGGAAGAAAUAAAUGACGGUACCAACAGAAGAAGUGACGGCUAAAUACGUGCCAGCAGCCGCGGUAAUACGUAUGGAGCAAGCGUUAUCCGGAUUUACUGGGUGUAAAGGGAGCGCAGACGGUUAUGCAAGUCUGAAGUGAAAAACCACGGCUCAACUGUGGUCUUGCUUUGGAAACUGUGUAACUAGAGUGUCGGAAGGGUAAGCGGAAUUCCUAGUGUAGCGGUGAAAUGCGUAGAUAUUAGGAAGAACACCGGAGGCGAAGGCGGCUUACUGGACGAUAACUGACGUUGAGGCUCGAAGGCGUGGGUAGCAAACAGGAUUAGAUACCCUGGUAGUCCACGCCGUAAACGAUGAGUACUAGGUGUCGGGUGAAGAACUCGGUGCCGAAGUUAACACAUUAAGUACUCCGCCUGGGGAGUACGCUCGCAAGAGUAAAACUCAAAGGAAUUGACGGGGGCCCGCACAAG